rnacentral:rRNA from 1 species
AGGGUGUAAACGCUGCCGACUUGGUGUUGGAGGCCCUUCGGGGCAUUCAGUGCCGGAGAGAAGUUGUUAAGUCGGCCACUUGGGGAGUACGUCCGCAAGGAUGAAACUUAAAGGAAUUGGCGGGGGAGCACCGCAACGGGAGGAGCGUGCGGUUUAAUUGGAUUCAACGCCGGAAAUCUCACCGGAUAGGACAGACAUAUGAUAGUCGGGCUGAAGACUCUACUUGAUGAUCUGAGAGGUGGUGCAUGGCGUCAGUGACU